CAGGGUGUAGCUCAGCUUGGUAGAGCACCUGCUUUGGGAGCAGGAUGUCGCAGGUUCAAAUCCUGUCACCCUGA
rnacentral:tRNA from 1 species